GUUCCUUACCACAUCCCAGCUAAAUGAC
rnacentral:piRNA from 1 species